rnacentral:rRNA from 1 species
UACGUAGGGUGCAAGCGUUAAUCGGAAUUACUGGGCGUAAAGCGUGCGCAGGCGGUUAAAUAAGACAGGUGUGAAAUCCCCGGGCUCAACCUGGGAACUGCAUUUGUGACUGUAUAGCUGGAGUACGGUAGAGGGGGAUGGAAUUCCGCGUGUAGCAGUGAAAUGCGUAGAUAUGCGGAGGAACACCGAUGGCGAAGGCAAUCCCCUGGGCCUGUACUGACGCUCAUGCACGAAAGCGUGGGGAGCAAACAGG